UUUUGGCUGAAUGUUCUCACACAUAAAGGGUAACAUGUGAUUAAGCUCUAGGGAGCUGGAGUGCUUUACAGCAAGCAAGCAAGAGGAGAGUAACGAUACAGAACACCACACCAGUGAGCAGGAGGUGAACAAUGCCUCCCCCUAGUUCCCCCAGGUUGGGUAACCAACUCCAGAGGGAAUCAGAAAUAGUGGCUUCCCUUUCCUGGGCCUUCCACAGUUCAAAGGCCUGUUUGGCUGACAGGAUGUGUUUGUUAAUGUCCUGUGCAUUUUCUGGUACAUAAGUACAGCAUUCACUUCCAAUAAGGGCGUACACCCCGCCGUG